rnacentral:ribozyme from 1 species
GCUAUUCAAGUAUGCUACCUCUCCGUGGUGAGUAGCAGGCAACGGGGUUCUCUCUCUCGGCUAAAGCAUAU